GGCAGCAUAAUUGCUCUGUCAGCAACGACAUGGGCACAAACACUGUGACGUUCAGGGUGGCUGUCAAACCCUACAUCAACCCGUACAUAGUAGUUGCUGUUCUUGUGGCUAUCGCCGGAUCGAUAGCAGUAGCCUUCUAUUUCUACAAACGAAGGUGUGAGGGACAUCACAACCUGGAGGAUGUUUUCCGUUUUCCCAAACAACACGAGGCCGUACCCACUGUAGAGUUUGUCUGUGGGAAGGUGUGACAAGUGUGUGGAGAAGUUGUUUUGUGAUACGCUGCAGAGUUGGCGUCGGACUCGUGGCCUGUGUUACAUCUCUCUGGCUGUCAUUUCCUGUCGUCUCUCUACUGACCUUAUCUGAUGACAUAAAAUGCCCCAAAUGAGUUCAGUCUCAACUUGUGUAACCUGAGUACUUCAAGGAAGUGUCUGUAUCUCAGGUUUAACACAUACUCAUGGUUAAACAUUGGUUUUAGGUCAAUUUAUACAUUUCACUUCACAGACAAAAGCACAUUGUUGGACAAAAUUUGAAAAAAUAAUUCACAUAUUCUUUCACAUUGAAGUUAGCAACUGUAUUUGUAUGACUUGUUAAAGUUAAGAUGAACACAAACUGUAUUUUGUGUACUACCCAUGGAAGUAAAUUUUUAAUUUGGUGAAAGAAAGAUCAUCUCUCUCUUUUUCUUUAUUCAGUGUAUGUACACAAGAGUUAAAAAUCCCGUGUAAAUGUGAAGCUAAUAAAGUAUUUGGUGGCUAAAUGGGUCACUUGUUUUUUUUAAAGCCA